CAAUAGCGUAUAUUAAAGUUGUUGCGGUUAAAAAGCUCGUAGUUGGAUCUCGGCAGGCAGGGGGUGGUUCGCUCUUAGCGCUACUGCCCCAUUUGCCUGUGUGAUUGGCGGAGGUUUCGGGGUGCUCUUCGUUGAGUGACCCGGGGCGCCGUCAGGUUUACUUUGAAAAAAUUAGAGUGCUCAAAGCAGGCUUUUCACGCUUGAAUAUUCGUGCAUGGAAUAAUGGAAUAGGAACUCGUUUCUAUUUUGUUGGUUUUCGGAAAUCGAGCUAAUGAUUAAUAGGGACAAUUGGGGGCAUUAGUAUUCAGACGACAGAGGUGAAAUUCUUGGACCGUCUGAAGACUAACUACUGCGAAAGCAUUUGCCAAGAGUGUUUUCAUUAA
rnacentral:rRNA from 1 species